CCCACGUGGGUACUCCCAGGAGGUGACUCUCCCUGGGCUCUGUCCAGGUGGCGUAGCCAAGCACAGGGCUUUGCCCCAUGACAUAUAGUCCCUUUUGUGAUGCUGGUAAUGAAGCCAGGCCUUGAGUCUGCACCUGCAUAUUCCUGCAGCUUCUCAGAGUUCUGUGGACGAUGACUGAGGAGACAAACCAUACAGGAAACCGCU
ensembl:snoRNA SNORA73 Small nucleolar RNA SNORA73 family